GACGAACGCUGGCGGCGUGCUUAAUACAUGCAAGUCGAACGGAGCCUAGCCGGUAGUUUACUACAGGCGAAAGCUUAGUGGCGGACGGGUGAGUAACGCGUGGGCAAUCUGCCCCUAAGUCCGGGAUAACAGAGCGAAAGUUCUGCUAAGACCGGAUACUCUUCCUUGGUCGCAUGGCGGAGGAAGGAAAGGAUACGCUUAGGGAUGAGCCCGCGUCCCAUUAGCUAGUUGGUGAGGUAACGGCCCACCAAGGCGACGAUGGGUAGCCGGCCUGAGAGGGUGGACGGCCACACUGGGACUGAGACACGGCCCAGACUCCUACGGGAGGCAGCAGUAGGGAAUUUUCCGCAAUGGGGGAAACCCUGACGGAGCAACGCCGCGUGAGGGAAGAAGGUCUUCGGAUCGUAAACCUUUGUCAUCGAGGACGAAAACUGACGGUACUCGAGGAGGAAGCCCCGGCUAACUACGUG
rnacentral:rRNA from 2 species